AGGGUGUAAACGCUGCGGGCUUGGUGUUGGGGGUCCUUUGAGGGCGCCCAGUGCCGGAGAGAAGUUGUUAAGCCUGCUGCUUGGGGAGUACGUCCGCAAGGAUGAAACUUAAAGGAAUUGGCGGGGGAGCACCGCAACGGGAGGAGCGUGCGGUUCAAUUGGAUUCAACGCCGGAAAUCUUACCGGGACCGACAGCAACAUGAAGGCCAAGCUGAAGACUUUGCCGGAUUAGCUGAGAGGUGGUGCAUGGCGUAGUCGUGU
rnacentral:rRNA from 1 species